rnacentral:rRNA from 1 species
GGCGCUGCUAAUACAUGCAAGUCGAGCGGACCGACGGGAGCUUGCUCCCUUAGGUCAGCGGCGGACGGGUGAGUAACACGUGGGUAACCUGCCUGUAAGACUGGGAUAACUCCGGGAAACCGGGGCUAAUACCGGAUGCUUGAUUGAACCGCAUGGUUCAAUCAUAAAAGGCGGCUUCGGCUGCCGUUUACAGAUGGACCCGCGGCGCAUUAGCUAGUUGGUGAGGUAACGGCUCACCAAGGCGACGAUGCGUAGCCGACCUGAGAGGGUGAUCGGCCACACUGGGACUGAGACACGGCCCAGACUCCUACGGGAGGCAGCAGUAGGGAAUCUUCCGCAAUGGACGAAAGUCUGACGGAGCAACGCCGCGUGAGUGAUGAAGGUUUUCGGAUCGUAAAGCUCUGUUGUUAGGGAAGAACAAGUACCGUUCGAAUAGGGCGGUACCUUGACGGUACCUAACCAGAAAGCCACGGCUAACUACGUGCCAGCAGCCGCGGUAAUACGUAGGUGGCAAGCGUUGUCCGGAAUUAUUGGGCGUAAAGCGCGCGCAGGCGGUUUCUUAAGUCUGAUGUGAAAGCCCCCGGCUCAACCGGGGAGGGUCAUUGGAAACUGGGGAACUUGAGUGCAGAAGAGGAGAGUGGAAUUCCACGUGUAGCGGUGAAAUGCGUAGAGAUGUGGAGGAACACCAGUGGCGAAGGCGACUCUCUGGUCUGUAACUGACGCUGAGGCGCGAAAGCGUGGGGAGCGAACAGGAUUAGAUACCCUGGUAGUCCACGCCGUAAACGAUGAGUGCUAAGUGUUAGAGGGUUUCCGCCCUUUAGUGCUGCAGCAAACGCAUUAAGCACUCCGCCUGGGGAGUACGGUCGCAAGACUGAAACUCAAAGGAAUUGACGGG